UUUUUCCUGUAAUGGUUUUUUGUUUAAAUGUUUUUUCGCCUAAGGAUGGGUCUGCGGCCGAUUAGGUAGUUGGUUAGGUAAUGGCUUACCAAGCCGUUGAUCGGUACGGGUUGUGAGAGCAAGAGCCCGGAGAUGGAACCUGAGACAAGGUUCCAGGCCCUACGGGGUGCAGCAGGCGCGAAACCUCCGCAAUGUGAGAAAUCGCGACGGGGGGAUCCCAAGUGCCAUUCUUAACGGGAUGGCUUUUCAUUAGUGUAAAGAGCUUUUGGAAUAAGAGCUGGGCAAGACCGGUGCCAGCCGCCGCGGUAACACCGGCAGCUCUAGUGGUAGCAAUUUUUAUUGGGCCUAAAGCGUCCGUAGCCGGUUUAAUAAGUCUCUGGUGAAAUCCUGCAGCUUAACUGUGGGAAUUGCUGGAGAUACUAUUAGACUUGAGACCGGGAGAGGUUAGAGGUACUCCCAGGGUAGAGGUGAAAUUCUGUAAUCCUGGGAGGACCGCCUGUUGCGAAGGCGUCUAGCUGGAACGGUUCUGACGGUGAGGGACGAAAGUUAGGGGCGCGAACCGGAUUAGAUACCCGGGUAGUCCUAACUGUAAACGAUGCGGACUUGGUGUUGGGGUGGCUUUGAGCUGCUUCAGUGCCGAAGGGAAGCUGUUAAGUCCGCCGCCUGGGAAGUACGGUCGCAAGACUGAAACUUAA
rnacentral:rRNA from 1 species